AGCGAACGCUGGCGGCAGGCCUAACACAUGCAAGUCGAACGAACCUUUCGGGGUUAGUGGCGGACGGGUGAGUAACACGUGGGAACGUGCCUUUAGGUUCGGAAUAACUCAGGGAAACUUGUGCUAAUACCGAAUGUGCCCUUCGGGGGAAAGAUUCAUCGCCUGUAGAGCGGCCCGCGUCCGAUUAGCUAGUUGGUUGAGGUAAUGGCUCACCAAGGCGACGAUCAGUAGCUGGUCUGAGAGGAUGAUCAGCCACAUUGGGACUGAGACACGGCCCAAACUCCUACGGGAGGCAGCAGUGGGGAAUCUUGCGAAAUGGGCGAAAGCCUGACGCAGCCAUGCCGCGUGAAUGAUGAAGGUCUUAGGAUUGUAAAAUUCUUUCACCGGGGACGAUAAUGACGGUACCCGGAGAAGAAGCCCCGGCUAACUUCGUG
rnacentral:rRNA from 1 species